GACAAACUCGAGUCACUGCAACGUAAAUCCAACGCACCCUUUCACCUUUGCAUGGCGGACCACUUGAGCUUUCAGUGGCGCUGCUCCCAUCGCUGCUGUGUUGCACGUUUGCAAACUUUGUUGUGCUACAAACAAGUCGCACUCUGCAUCGUGUCUUCACCUGCACAGGUGCACUGAAAGCCUUGGACCUCCUGUUGAGAUGCGGCUGCUUUACUCCACCAAGGGGCCCUCGACUUUUGAGCUCUGACGCUGAGACGCAGACCGGCCCUGACAUCCUGAGGAGUGUCACUGUGUAAUGUGACACACUUCAGGAGAUUACAAGUUUCAACAGGUUACCAGAUCACACACCACAAACACCACAAACUGCUGCUUGUCCACAGGAACACAUCAGAUGACGAUAACACAACACUGAGGACAGGAAGAAAUACGUUGCCAUGGAAAAGAAAAGCAUAACACAGAUCAAGAAUAGAUUUUUUUUUAAUUAUCAAAAGUGUAACUCAUGUACAAUUCCCUGAAGAAAGAAUGACUGAUAGAAACUGUUAAGACAGUGUAACAAACCAUUCUCCCUCUGUUUUAAUCAGUUCAUCAAUCAGAUGUUCAAAGACGUAAUCACCUUCUCAACCCAAUCUACAGCAAAAAGUCUUUGCAUUUUAAGUUUCUGCAAACAACGAAUACGCUACAUUUAUACAUUAUUUUGUAGCUGAUCUGUUGAAUCUUUCCGAAUCACUGGGGCAAAGGUGUGGUUAGGUUUUGGCACAAAAAUCAGCUGGUAAUUGUUUGGAAAAGAUCGUGUUUUGGCUUAAAACACCCGCAUUAGGUGCCACAAAACCCGCUGGAAAAGCAGAGAUGGGUUGGUGAAAAACACCCAAAUUCGGUGAUUAAAGCGGCGCAAUGUGUGUCGGUAAAAAACACCCAGGUUUGAUGGCUCAAAGGCUGCUGGGAAACCCUGCAAUAUGCUGCUAGAAACACCUAUGUUGAGAACCAAAAACACCCACACAAAUGCCACAAAGGGUCGCCAGAAAAAAAGUUGUCUGCAGCUUUAGAGACGAUAUGAAACAUAUUCAUUGUUUGCAGAAACAUAAAAUGUGAACAUUUUCUUCUGGCAAACUGGGCUUGUAUUCUGUAUAAGCAGAAGGGAUGAGGACAAUCAUACUUCAUUCCAUGAGUACAGCAACCACGGCACAUGAUAACCGAAAACAUAAUGAUACAGUAAAGAGGCAACGGAAGACACCGAAUAAAAAGACAAUUGUUGAAUCACAAAAAAAAAAAAAAAA